UGGGGAAUAUUGCACAAUGGGCGCAAGCCUGAUGCAGCCAUGCCGCGUGUGUGAAGAAGGCCUUCGGGUUGUAAAGCACUUUCAGCGAGGAGGAAGCGUAGUGUGUUAAUAGCACAUUGCAUUGACGUUACUCGCAGAAGAAGCACCGGCUAACUCCGUGCCAGCAGCCGCGGUAAUACGGAGGGUGCAAGCGUUAAUCGGAAUUACUGGGCGUAAAGCGCACGCAGGCGGUUUGUUAAGUCAGAUGUGAAAUCCCCGCGCUUAACGUGGGAACUGCAUUUGAAACUGGCAAGCUAGAGUCUUGUAGAGGGGGGUAGAAUUCCAGGUGUAGCGGUGAAAUGCGUAGAGAUCUGGAGGAAUACCGGUGGCGAAGGCGGCCCCCUGGACAAAGACUGACGCUCAGGUGCGAAAGCGUGGGGAGCAAACA
rnacentral:rRNA from 1 species